rnacentral:rRNA from 1 species
CUUGAUCAAUUAUAAGAGGUCAAGCCUGCCCAGUGACAUUGUUCAACGGCCGCGGUAUCCUAACCGUGCGAAGGUAGCGUAAUCACUUGUCCUUUAAAUAAGGACUAGUAUGAACGGCUUCACGAAGGCUAUACUGUCUCCUUAAUCUAAUCAAUUAAACUAAUCUCCCCGUGAAGAAGCGGGGAUUCAUCUAUAAGACGAGAAGACCCUAUGGAGCUUUAAACAUCUAAGACACUUGAUUUUUACCUACUAAACUUCAUGCAACCUAUCCUUUUGUCUUAAGUUUUAGGUUGGGGUGACCAUGGAGAAAAAUUAAACCUCCACGUAGAAAGAAAAUUCUUUUCUAAGCAAAAAGCCACAUCUUAACGCAUCAAUAUAUUGACUUAACUUGACCCA